CUGAACCAGAGUCCCCUGAGAGCUCCAGAAGAUGGGACCAGGAUUACUGAAAUUAACUGAUACAUUCAUGGUGCAGAAUGGAUGCAGAAACUGGGGGCCAUAACAAAAGAGCAGGAGCCAAACAAAAGGAGAAUGAAUGGCCACUUAAUCAGAGUAAAGCGAAGAGGGCUCUCUGUGCCAUAAAUGAUGCUAAAGUAUACAGGGUUUGGUUUCACAUGUACAGGUUGCAUUAAUUUACUGAUCAAGGCAUCCACCUGUGUUCCAGGCUCUUGUCUUGGUACUGAAGUUAUAAUAUGAAACACUUUAGAUUCAGAGACUGCCCAGGAGGCAGUGACAAAUGUCAUUGGUGUUGUGAGGAGGCAGAAUGCUGUGAGAGCCUGUGGGAGCUUCCCCAAACCUAGAUUUUGCUGGAUGAGGAAAGUUUCUCAACAGAGAAGUUACCCGUGCUGAGACCAGAAAAGCUAGCCAAGUAUGCAGAUGGGCCAGACUGGAUAAAAGUCAUAGGAUGGGUGGACAUUAGUUGCCCAGAAUCGAAGGAAGGAUUUGUUUUGAUCUUUUUCCACUAAAUGUCAGAGUUACCAAACACCCACCUUUAAAAAUUAUGGUAUUUUUAAAUAAUAUGAUUACACACUAAAGUAGGACAGAAACUUCUGAACUGGUCAUGCCAGAAUAGGAAGAACUAGGUUGAUGAAAAUUCUAUUAGUUUAUUUUAAGGAUCUGGGUCUAACUCUGCUGCCCAGGCUGGAGUGCAGUGGCACGAUCCUGGCUUAUUGCUGCCUCGGACUUCUGGGCUCAAGCAAUCCUCAUAUCUCAGCCUCUUGAAUAUCUGAGAUUACAGAAGCAUGCCACCGCAUCUGGCUAAUUAUUUUAUUUUUUACUUUUUAACAGGCACGGUCUUGCUAUGUUGCCCAGGCUGGUCUUGAACUCCUGGCCUCAAGUGAUCCUCCUGCCUCAGCUUCCCAAGUUGCUAGGAUUGCAGGUACAUUUCACUUCAUCUCAGCACAACUUUGACAUUCAUGAUGCUAAAGGAUGGUGUAAUACUAGCCACAGAAUGCCGAGGCCUCCUCUAAGACUGUGCUAAAUGACUAAGGACAGUUUCCAGGAUUUAUGGCUAUGGAAUAAGCCUGAAUCUUUCCAUAGAUGAUUCCUGAUAUUGGUAAUGUCUAAGGCUGGAUGUAGAUUUGGUGGAUAGGGCCCAGCAAUACAGAUUUACAUUGACUCACAAAUCGUCUUGAAAAUGGAAGAGAUGAUAGAUUAAAAAAAAGGAGAAAGUGUAGGGGGAAAAAAACACAAUUGGAAGGAUAAUUGUGUUUCAGAUGAUGCUGGUGGGUCUAUUUUCCUCAAUGGUUUUAUAACUUCAGCAUGCAUAAGAAGCACCUAAGGAGGGGAGGAGUACUUAUUCAAAAUGUAUUUUUCUAGCUCGCACUUCCAGAGAAUCUGAUUCUGUUGGCAGUGGGUAGGGAGUGGGGACCAGGAAUCUUUUGAACAUCCACAUUACGGGAUGCAGAAAGUUUAACAAAGACCAUAAUUUGAGAAACACUUUAAAAGUCUUAGGAAAAAAAUAGAAAGAGAAAAUAGUCAACACAAAACCUAACAAGGACAGGAGAAACCCAGAAUCCAGUCAAUAAGAGCCCAAUAACAAUUAUAUUACAAAAUCACACAAUCAAUGAUGUACUACAAUGAGCAAUUAUGACUUCUUAUUGAGUUACUGUUUAUUCUCCACCCAUUUCCAUUAAAAUGGCUAGGAAGGAAAAGGUAAUAUAAAUGCUUGAUAGAAUAAAACAUACCAUCUAUUUUGAGAGAAGCUAUCUGGGCAAGGGGAAAGAGUGAUGGAAAAUACAUCGCCUGUUGCCAGUAUGAAUGGCAUAGGCCUUACUGGACUCCAGGCCUGCUUUAAUUGCUUACUUAUAAGGCUACAUUACUGAACAAUUUCAUAGCUUCCAGGAGCCUGGGUUUCAUCUCAGGUGUGUGAGUCUGACUGGAUCAAGUCUGAUAGAGUAAGAAACACACAAGAAAAUGCAUCACCGUUGAUAAAACUUCAUGUUUGAGGAGAAGGAAGAUAAUAAAGAAUUAACUUUGAGGAACACAAAUGAGAGAAUAUCUGUUUUGCUUUUUUUAUUACUAGAAAUAUUAAAUCCAAGAAUAGCUUUUUAGUGCAAAUAAAGUAAGAUGAAUUAUUAGCAGUAUUUAAAACAUCAAAUAUGAUAAAGAUAAUGAGCAUAAUUAUUUAAUCACUUAACUUUUUAGAGCCUUUCAAUACCUAUAGCCUUUCCAGCACUGAAUCAAACAUGUAAAGAGUUAACUGCCCUGAGGAGCACAUAAAAGGAAUUUAAAUGACCUAGUAAAAUGAACAAAAAGUAAAGCAUGACUUGCUCAAUACAUCUUAAUCUAGCACACUAUAUCAUUCCUUAACCUUAAAAUUGUUUUUUAAAUUAACAUCCCAAAUAUAUAUCCUGUUAUAUGUUCUGUGAAGAAAGCUGCAUAUAUAUAAUAUUUUUUCAGUAGCGUCCUCUUGGAUUAAUUCACCAAAACAUACCAUCUAGUUGAACAAAAUUCCUUAGGAAGUGUAACCAAGCGUACUUGGUUGAAAUGAAGAGGAAAUUUAUGAAACUAUCUUAGAAUGAAAAAAAAAUAGACAUCAGAAAACUGUUGCCUUUUUAAAGCAUCAUUUCCCCCCCGUAAUCCAAAAUUCCUUUUCUGCUUUCUGCUCCACAAUCCCAUGGGCCACUGAGCGGCCGGCAGGAGCCAUAAUCACGGGCAGCACAAGCCAGACACAGGGUCAGGACAAAUGUGAGGCCGGCACCAGCCAAUGGAGGGGCUGGACCCUCUCCUGGGAGGAGCUGCCCUCCGCAGUGAAGAUCAGCAGAGACUUGGCAUGAAGGCCAGAUCCUUGUGAGAGAAGUGGAUGUCAAGGAAAAAGCUCAAAGGGACAUGGAAAUAGAAACCUUUGCUGCCAUUGCUUUUUAUUUAAAUAGUAAAUACUCAAAAAAUUGAAAACAAAACAAACAAAAAACAAAAUAUCCCCCCCAAAAAAGACAAACCACCACUAACAGACAUACAUGGUGGAAAGUCCAGGAUGACCUGUAUCUUAGGUCAAAUUAUUCUUUUAAAAGGGUUUUAUGUAAAUAAAGUAAUAAUGAAAAUGCUUAGCUUGAUAGUACUAGACACACAUGGUUUAUGAUAGAACAGACAGAGUGAAGUUGUGUAGGAGUUAAAUACAACAAAACUUGACCACCACUGAGUUGAAAUAACCAAGUAGAAGGGUUGGGCAUGGUUUGGGGGUACAGAGAAUAGUACUCCAGGGUCCACUCACCCCCAAACCUAGUUGCAAAACCUACUAUUAGUGGCAAGUGACAGGGGCAGGGAUGGUCAGGAGAAAUGUGAGGACUUUUCCCUCAACAGCAUAUUGGCUACUAAUGUUAUGUAAUUUCCUUUUACUGACCACAGAAUUGCUGGUCAUUAGAGCUUUUAGGCGCUACGCAUUGUUGUUAUCAUGUGUUACCAUACACAAUAGAAUUUACCACAAAUGUGGCAAUGGAACUUUAAAAAGCAAAAUCCUAGGCAAAUACUAUGAUUUGUGGAGCAAUAGUUCAACAGGAGGAAGAUGUGUGACUUUCUAUGGGAAUCUGCAGGAAGUGUGGGAUCAUCAUGAUGAUUAAGGGUAUUUAAAAUGUACCUUUGAGUAGAGAAAUUCAAAAUAAAGAAAAAUAAAUUAAAAUACCGUGGCACGGCACUCUAGCCUGAGGGACAGAGCAAGACUCCAUCUCAGAAACUACAACAAAAAAUACCAUAUACAAACAUUUUAAAUCAUUUCACGUAAAAGUACUUAUGUACCAAUACUUUUGUUUUCUCCUUGCAACUCUGGGUACAUGUGUGAAUUAUGUGAAAGUUUCAUUUCAUAUUCACUGUAUCUUCUUUCUCCCUUCACUCUAAAUAUCCAGGUUAUAUGAACUGCAUCCUCCUCUUCUCAACACAUGGAUUAAAUAAAACUUCCCUUCCAAAAAGGGAUCUGAAAGUUAAACCACACUAGGGUGUGAUUGACAACAAUCUUGAUAGUUCACUUUUCAAAAUAUUGGCAAGUUAAGUUUCAGAAGGCUUAAAUCAAAAGAUUGAUUCAAAAAUGCUAUGAAGCAAAGAAUUCUUGGAUAAUUUCUCCUGAAUCUCUGGAUACAGUCCUUGUUGGCUUCUCCUCGCUGCCUCAGGUAUCACCAUGACAGCAUAAUUUCCCAUUUUUCCAUAUUAAAAUACCAAUAUGCUUGGGAGAGAACAUUUAGUUUGCCUUAUUAGCUAAUAAAACACCAUUUGAAUAUAUAUGAUCCUUUCCUGUCUGAAAAUUAAUCAAAAAUGGAUCUGUUAGGAAACAAGAUGGUGACAUAAGCUUAAGGGGGAGAGAAGUUCAUUUCUUGAGAUUAUUAUACACCAAACACAUGCUCUAUGUGCGCAGUGCAAUGUUAUUUAAUCUUCUUAAGGGGCAUGAUGUAAGCAGUUCUUCCAUUUUAUAAAUGAGAACAUUGAGGUUCAGGGAGGUAAAUUUAAUUGUUGAAGCUUACAAGUGACUGAGACUCAACCAAAAGAUACAUGGAUGCAGAGGUCUUGCUAUUUUUAGGGAAAUCUGAAGGCUGCAAACAUAAGUGCCCCACUUGGACUCUGGCAAAGCUGGCCCCGCCACCUGCUCUGAAGACUGGACAAGGAGCAGAUCUCAAUUUCUGGCUCCCAGCAAGUAUUUUCUCCACUAGACCACACAGAAGGCUCCAAUGCAACAGUCAGGACCAGGGUUUGGUUCUUUUGCCCAGCAGCCUAAGCUAAUCUCCAUGAGUCAAGCCAGACCUUUCAUUCUGGUUUGGGACAACCAGGGCUAAGAGUCAACCUGCAUGGUGCCUCUUGUGGAAAUAGUAGGGGAAAGAAAGUAUCCGGAAUUUGGUUCUCUGUUCCAACAUCCUUUUUAAAGUGCCAAUUAAUCCUUCAAGGGAGUUGUCUUUACAUGUGGUGUUGAGGCAUGGGGGUGUGAUGCACUUGUGUGAGGCACAGACUCACAUAGACAGUAAGUCCCCACCAGCCAUGAGCUCACAGUCCUGUGUUGGGGGUUUUCUGAACCACCUCAGCAUGGCACUUUGGCAUGCUGAGUGCUUUAAACCGAAGGACAUUGGAAGGGUCUCAGAAUCAAAGUCUGUCUCUGACUUUCUCCUGCCUUUCUUUUUCCUGUUCCCCAAGGCAGGCCAUAGAAACUAGAAUUCCUCUUUCCCAAGGUGGGUCAUAGAAACUAGAAAUAUUGCUCUAAACUUUCUGUGUAGGAGCUGGCCACAAGGAAGCCAUCUGACCUACCUUGCUUGAAAGCAGGUCAUAAGACCCUCAUUCCAGAGGGGUCCUGCUGCAUACCCAGGAGAAAGAAAUACCACACAAAGAGGCCAAGAAGAAUCUGAACAGUCAGGCCUUGCUGGGUUUCCCCUGCAACCUAUCACCAUUAGAUCACAACCUUUGGUCCAAUCACAUUUCUACAUGGCUGUCCAUUCUUCAUUGAUCCUAAGCAAAAAAAUAGACAGUUUUCCCUGGGUCUUUAGGUCUUCAUUUCUGAAGCCUCCCAUGUCAUAUAAAACUUUGAUUAAAGAAAUGUGUUAUGCUUUUCUCAUGUUAACCUGUUUUUUGUUAUAGGAGUGUUGGCUGUGACCCUUAUGAUGGGAUGAAAAGGUACCACGCUUUUUCCAUCCCCAAACCUGGAAAGAACUGUAGUUGGUGAGACCAGAAAAUCUCACAAAAAGCAGGGAGAGGGAGGAUUAAGGCUGAAACAUUUUAAAUAAGCCAUUGUGCAUCAAUUAAAAUAAGUGAAAGUCUAGAAAAUAUCCAUUUUUCAUUUGUGGGUGUGACAAAUCUAGUCCAAAAUGUAUUCCCAUGAAUCAAUUUCUUCAAUCCAUCUAUUAUUACCAAACAAUUUAAUCAUGUUCAGUUUUUAUGAAGUACAAAUGAAAGGCAAACAAGAGAUUGUCCUAAACAAGACAGUUCUCAUAAUUGUCUUUGAAGCCAACACUUUAUCCCAGUUAAGAUGACAUUGGGGUCCCAGAUGACUGUUACUUAAGGGAUGAUUUUCUCUCUAACUCUGCAUUCUGAGGAAUUCUACAUAAAUUUCCAUUACUUUAAAGAAUCUGUACUUCUAUUAUCCUUGUGACUCAAAGGAAACUGACAGACCAGGAUGAUACCAUUGCCAUUUUUUUCCCCAGUGGGAUCUUAUAUUGCUCCUAUCAAUUUAUGUAAGCCUGCAAUAUUUUACAUAUACUAACGAUUCUGUGUUACAUUUGCGUAGAUGUUCUUUCACAAUUUGUUACCUUUAACACUGGUAAUUUUAAUGUAAUCAAUGUUUUAAUGUUUUAGUAAUAUUUCCAAUGAUUUCUGAGUUAAAAUCCUACCCAAAGAUAAGCUAAAUAUUUAUCUAUAUAUAGAUAUAGAUAAAUUUAUAAAUUAUUUUCUGUAAUGUGUGUGUGUGUGUGUGUGUGUGUGUAUGUGUAUGUUUAGCAUUUCACUCUUAAAUAGAAUUGGAAUUUAUUUUUUGGUUAAAGUGAUGAUAUAAAGUAAUUUUUUUAAACAAAUAAUUAACAAUUGUUUAAACACUGUUUACUGAAUGAUUAACUCACCUUUCACAUUGUGAUGCCAAUUUUUAUCAUAUCACUGUAUAUGAUAAGAUUUGUUUCUGGGUUAUGAGGACUAAGCUCUGAUUUUUUUAUGUUACCCAAAUUCCUACCUAAGGGGUCUAGGGAGUCAUGCCCUACAAACCAUAAGUUCUCAUCAGAUGGAUUUCAUUUGACCCUAUAUUUUGUGACUUUUCAAUCUGAUUCUGGCAUAACAUUAUAAGAUGAGGAAAAAAUAUUUAACCACAAAAUAUAUUUCCUUGCCAUAUCUUGAAAUUGCCCUGCAAAGUCCCUUGUGGGAAAAAACCACAUUCUGUAGAGAAUCCCUUUUCCCCUUUGUUUUCCUUCCUUUCUUUCCAGAUCCAGAAGACAAUCAGCUAAGAGCCAGGCAUCCUUUUAAGUCUGGUAAGAAACAAUUUACAACCUGUUCUUUCUGAAGUCUGCUAUCUGAGAGCUUCCUCUGCACAAUAAAACUUGGUCUCUGCAAUCCUUUAUUUUUAACGUGAACAUUCAUUUCUAUCCAUCCCAAGUCUUAGACAAGCUCAACCAAUUGUCAACCAGAAAAUGUUUAAAUUUACCUGUAGCCUGAAAGCCUCCCACUUUGAGUUGUCCCACCUUUCUGGACCAAACCAAUGUAUUUCUUAAAUGUAUUUGAUUGGUGUCACAUGCCUUCCUAAAAUAUAUAAAACCAAGCUGUACCCCAGCCACCUUGGAUGCAUGUUCUCAGGACCUCCUGAGGGCUGUGUCAUGGGCCAUCGUCACUCAUAUUUGGCUCAGAAUAAAUCUCUUCAAAUAUUGUACGGAGUUUAACUCUUUUCAUCAACAGUUACAUAUUUUUCCCACUGGUUUUUCUGAAUCUUCUUAUAUAUUAAUUCAAAAUAUGAAGUAUUAUUAAGUAUAAAAAGCCAUGUUAACCUUUAUUACUUGUUUCCUGGGUUUUAUGGUUUUUUUCUCCAUAAAAAUAAAAAUUUGCUUUGCGUAUUACUUGAUUUUUUCAUGCAACACCUAAAAACAAUAUAUAUUCAAUACAAUAUUAAGAAUAUAUAACAUUUGUUUAGAGUUUGUAUAUGCCGGGCACCAUUCAAAGUGUAAACCAAAAAUAAAAUUCUGAGCCCCCCAACCUACUAACUGAAUGGACCCCAUCCUCUCAGUCAAAGGGAUUUCGGAGAAAUCUAAAAAACUAGUUCUGACCAUGAUGGGAAGGAGGUUUGAAUGUGCCUUGUUAUACUCUCCUUCCUUUGGAAUUCAGGCACCAUCGACUCACAUUAACAUUAAAACAGAGAUCUUAAGACUGAGGAAACAGACUCUUUGUAGCAAUAAGAUACCAAUUUCCAACCUGACUCUAGUAUAGCAUCACGUGACAGAUGGCAGUCCCUGAAAGAAAUCAAAGUAUUUUACCCCAAAAUAUAUUUCUUUGACAUAUUUUGAAACGGCCCUGCAAAGCUAUCUCUUGUGGGAAGAAUUUACACUUUGUAGAGAAUCCCCUUCCCUUUCCAGGUCUUUUCCUGAUCCUUGAGUGAUUUAAUUAAGAGUUUGGCACAUUUUAAGAUCUGAUAAGAUACAUUUACCAUGAUCACUGUCUUUGAAGCUUGCUACCUGGAGGCUUCAUCUAUAUAACAAGAACCUUGACUUCCAUAGCCCCCCUUGUCUUAACCCCAAGCAUUUCUUUCUGCUGACUUUAACUCUUUAGAUUAGGAGUGUCCAAUCAUUUGGCUUCCCUGGGCCACACUGGAAGAAUUGUCUUGGGCCACACAUAAAAUACACUAACACCAACCAUAGCUGAUGAGCUUAAAAAAAAAAAAUUACAAAAAAAUUUCAUAAUGUUUUAAGUGUAUAAAUUUGUAUUGGGCCGCAUUAAAAGCUGUCCUGGGCUGCAUGUGGCCUGCAGGCUGCAGGUUGGACAAGCUUGCUUUAGAUAACCUAACUCUUUCAACAAAUUGCCAAUCAGGAAAUCUUUGAAUUUACCUAUGACCUGGAAGUCACACUCCCCGGCCCCCCUCGAUGUCCUGCCUUUCCAGGCCGAACCAAUGUGAAUCUUAUAUGUAUUAUGUUUUUGCCUGUAAUUUCUGUCUCCCUAAAGUGUAUACAAUCAAGCUGUAACCCAACCACCUUGGGCACAUAUUCUCAGGAAUUCCUGAGGCUGUGUCACAGAUCAUGGUCCUCACAUUUGGCUCAGAAUAAAUAUCUUCAAAUAUUUUAUAGAGUUUGGCUUUUUUGGUCAACGAAAAUGUCUUAUAUCAACUUGGCUGGAUCAUGGUGCCCAUAUAUGUAAUCACAUUAUUCUGGUUGUUACUUUGAGGGUGUUUUUGAGAUUAACAUUUAAAUUGGUGGACUGUGAGCAAAAUAAAUUGCCCUCCAUAAUUAUUCAAUCAGUUGAAGGCCUUAACAGAACAAAAGAUUAACCUUCCCUGGAGCAAGAGAUAAUUCUGCCAGCAAAUGACCUUUGGACUUGAGCUGCAACACUGGCUUUUCCCUGGGUCUCCAGGCGCCAGUCCGCCCUGCAGAUUUUGGACUGGCCAGCCUCCGUAACGUGUGCCAAUUCCUUAACAUAAAUCUCUGUGUGUGUGUGUGUGUGUUUGUGUGUGUGUAUCUCUGUCACACACACACAUAUAUAGAACAUAUCCAAUAUUUUAUAUAUAUGUUUUUUUCCCUCUAGACAACCAUGACAUACAUAAGGUUAAGUAAUUUGCUCAUCACAACAUCCCCAAGGGGAAGGUAUACAAUUAUCAUUUUUAUUUUACAGGUGAGGACACUGAAGUCCAGAAAACUUAAAUAGCUUGUCCAAGGUCAUUCAACCAGUACAUGACAGGAUGAGGAUUCAAACUCAUAGCCCACAAUUUGAACAAUACAAAUAUACUUUUUAAGAUCAAUGAAACAGACUUUUAAAAAUCCUAGGAUAAUAAAAUUGUAAUUCCUCAUUUUCUUUAACACUUUUUUCAUGGAGAUCAAAAUAUUUUAGAGCAAACAUUGUCAAACAAGCCCUUGACAAGCAAGCACUAAGAAGUCAUUUGCCCUUCUCACUCUCAUUUCCUUAUGAGUAGAGUUUUUCCAUAGCUAUAUGAAAUAUUGAGAGCAGCAGGAGGCAGCCAAAUGCCUAAGCAUGUAGGGGCGGGUCCCCAGCGAAAUCCCACGUCCAAGCCAAAGACAGUUUAAAGCCUGAAAGCCAAGCUACAAGUUAACUCCUCGAACCAGAUUGAGAACCCGCUUUCCUGUUUGGUGUGCUUUCCUCUGAUUGAUCUCCACCCUUCACCCAUUUUACACAUACCUACCCUUUCCUAAUUGAUUUUCUACAAUGUCGUGCCCACCUUUGAGUGGCAUCUUUGCUUUGACCUUUUUUGCAUACUCACAAACCAGUCAGCACACACUCCCUAUUCUGAGCCCUUAAAAAGCCCUGGGCUCGGUUAUAUUGAGAACUCUCCUGCCUUUGGAUAGGGGGACCAUCCCCGUCCCCUUCCUGAAAAAGCUGUUUCAUCACUCAAUAAAAUUUCCUGCCUUGCUCACUCUAAGAGUGCCCAGGUGCCUACUUCUUCCUGGUCAUGAGACAAGAACCCAGACCUAGCUGAGCUAAGGAGCAAGAAAUCCGGCAUCAAUAUGACGACAUCAUUGCACUGAUGUUAACAGGUUUGACCUUUCUCUCAUCCCCAGCAAAGUUCUGAAUGCGGGUUCUGACUCUGAGCUGAAGGCAUACUUCAUGAAGUUUCCUGCUGCCCUUUCACUACACAGCUGGACUUGGAGGCAAACUUGGAGAUAAAAAUAUAGUUCCCGUGCUAUCCCUUAUAAAGAUUUAAGAGAAAGUAUAGAAAGAAAGGCAAAGCUAAUUACUCAAUAUGCAUCCGUUAGUUUUAAUGCAAUAAAAGAGUCAGUCCCAUAAUAUAGCAAAGGUUACACUUAAAACUUAAAUGCAAGAUAUUAGAAAGUACUUCAUAAGAAAUUAAUGCUGUACUAUUAGGGCCUUUAAACCAAGCAGUCAAUGCAUCAACAAAUCUUUAUAGGGAAACUAUUAUGUGGCAGACAAGGUUAGGUGGCUGCAAUAUGUCUGCCUUUGUUGAUGAGUUUCAUCUUUCCUAUUGAGCGGCCUAUAAACAUGGCAGCAUUCCUAUGUCCAGUUUACCUAUUAUAAAAUCUUAAAUGAAUUAUGUUAAAAAUCAUGCUAGCAGUACCAAUGAAUUUUUUAGAGACAAUGCUUUAUUGGAUUCAUUUCUUUUUUUCCAACUAUUUUGUCUGGAAAGAUGGGAUUUUUAAAAUGUAUAAUGACAUUUUGGCUAAUAAUUAUAGUUUAGAACUUCAUUCUUUCCGUCAAGAACUGUUAUUUGAGUGCUGGAUCAAAUGGCUUUUCUACAGAUCUCGUUCCUUCAGAUCUACGUAACUAAAGCUCUGUUUAAAAAACAAACAAAAAUUCACAUGCUAGUGCUGUUACAGAAGUUUUAUCAGACUGGCAGUCCAAGUGGUUAAAAUUCCUUGUAACGGGUAUCAGUUUGAAAAGAUUCUUGACUGGGUGUAGUGACUUAUGGCUGUAAUUCCAGUGCUUUUGAAGGCCAAGGCAGGAGGCUUGCUUGAGGCCAGGAGUUUAAGACCAGCCUGGGCAACAUAAGUAGACCCUGUACUUGCAAAAAAAAAAAAAAAAUUAAUAAAUAAAUUAACCAGGAGUGCUAAUGUGUGCCUGUAAUCCUAGCUACUUGGGAGACUGAGGCAGGAAGAUUGCUUGAGCCCAGGAGUUUGAGGCUGCAGUGAGCUGUGAUUGCACCACUACACUGCAGCCUAGGUGACAGAGUGAGACCCUGUCUCUAAUACAUAAAUAAAUAAAAACAAAGAUUCUUAAUACCCUUUACCUUUUUCAUUAGGAAAUAUUUUAUUAGGAAAUUUAUUAGGAAAUAUUUCAUUAGUGAAGGAAAGUCUCACUUUUUAAACUUGACUUUGACCAACACUCUGUUCUCAUGACUUAUGUCCCUUUAAUACCUAAAUCAUUUGCCUAGCUAAUUGGGCCUGCACCAGUGUGUACUGUUAGAUCCCAUGGAACGUUGACCUGACAGGUGUUCUAUUUGUCAGGCAGGGCUUUCCUUGGCUUCCCUUUUAUCAUUUCUUCUUCCUGCUUCUUCAAGAGACUUAUGACUCUCUGUCAUAAGCUCUCAGUUAUAGAACAGAGCUAUACAUAAAACGUGCAUAUACACAAAUGGGUAAGGAGUAUACCUGCACUAAAUAAUUCUUUCUCUCUGAAACUCAAUAACAACUGGCCUCUUGUCUGAAAAACAUCAGGACUCUUGCACUAAAGACCAGGCAGCCAUCCAGCUGUGCCCAGUUGCUAUUUUUUGGUAUCCAUUCUAAGAAGUUAUCAUUUUCAUGAGAAUGAAAAUGUUGUACCACAGAAAUUUUAACUUUGGAAAGCAACUCUUUGGAGUUCUAAUUUCUCGUAGGGCAAUAUUUUUCAGGCUUGUUGGGUUUCUGUGUUUGAACAUCUGAGUUCUCACUUUUAGAGGCUUGUGCUUCCUAGCACUCUAUCCUAUUACACCUAUGCCAGGACUUGGUAGCUAAAGUAUAAGCUGAAAUAAUUAUGUCGUUAAUUCAUGCUAAAACCUGUCUUACUCCAUUUAGCAAGUUUUAUUUUGAUAUAUCCAUACAAUCACUUCAAAUCACUACUUCAUUUUGGCAAUGCUAAAUUGUUUAUACAACGCUACUGUUCAUGCUCAUCCUGCAGAACAGCUAGUGAAGUAUGUCUGUAACCAUAUGGCUUGUUGUUAUCAUAUCAUUAUACCUCAUUUAAUAACAGUUCCUAAUAUAUUGGGUAUUGCAUAGAAGACACUCAAAUUUUUUUUUUGUAAGUAAGUACUGUUAACAAGGCAAGCUUCUGUCAGUAGGUUACGCUAAUAUUCAAUUUGUAUCAUAUUUAGAUAACAUCUUGAAUGUGUAAUUAUUUCUAUUUGACUCAAUGGCCUCGGUUGCUGAUGAGAACCCAAGCUUUGAGAAUCAGAGAUUGGUUCUUUCUUACUAAGUAAAACAAUGCAUUAUUUAUUUUAGAGUUAAUCCAAACUGACAUUUUUAUGACUGCUAUGGACAAAAUGUUUGUAUCUCCCCAAAAUUCAUAUGUUGAAGCCCUAAUCCCCUGUGUGGUUGUUUGGAGAUGAGACCUCUAAGGAAGAAAUUAAGGUUAAGCGAGGUCAUAAUGGUGACAGGCUCUCAUCAAACAGGAUUAGUGUCCUUAUAAAAAGGGACAUCAGAGACCACUGUACUGGCACAUUCUCCAUGUCCAGCCCCUAAACCAAUCCUGCUCACAACUUGAUCUUGGACUUCCAGACUCUGAAAGUCCAGCAAAGACAAGUGAGCAUUUAUAGACAAGAAGCAAGUUGGGGCAGUGGAUGGAAAAUUACUAAGAGGAAACAUGAGGAGUAAGAAGGGAUUCUGGUUAAAUCAGCUUAACAGGAUUCUUGCUGAAGUCAGGGCAGAGUAAUCAGAUAUCAUCUGGGAGGUGGUGGGAGAUAAGGAAUUUGGUCAAAUAUUGACAAUGAUCAGAUAUGAAGGGUGAGAGAUUCUGGUUAAACAAAUUUGACAGAAUUUUUGCUAAAAUUGGGCAAUGCAAAAACAGACAUGGAAACCCACAGUUCAGGGCCUCGGAUUGUCUCUCACAGGGUUGCAAAAAUAAUCUGCUAUGUUUUCUUCAAGAGGUUUUAGAAUUUUAUCUUUUACAUUCAGGACUAUGAUCUUUCUUGAAUUAAUUUUUAUGAAUGGUGCAGAGUUUGAGGCGCAACUUUUUUCUUAUAAGUAGUCAUUUUUUACAGAACCUUUUGUCAAAAAGACUUUUCUUCCCCCUAUUAACUUAUGUUGAUGACUCAUUUAAAAAAUGAUCAAGUGACUGGGUAAAUGUGGUUCAGUUUCUGGACUCACUAACGUUUUUGUUAAACUAUUAAUCUAUCUUUACAUCAUAUCAUGCCAUCUUGAUUUUAAUAAGUUUUGAAAUCAAGUGAUAUAAGUACUACAAAGUAUUUUUCUAUUUCAAGAUAAUUUUGGCUAUUCUGAGUAGUCGGUCUUUUCUUUUCUUUCUUUUUUUGAGAUAGAGUCUCACUCUGUUACCCAGGCUGGAGCGCAGUGGCAUGAUCUUGGCUCACUGCAAUCUCCACCUCCCAGGUUCAAGCGAUUCUCUUGCCUCAGCCUCCCAAGUAGCUGGGAUUACAGGCACGGGCUACCAUGCCCGGCUAAUAUUUUUUUGUACUUUUAGUAGAGUUGGGGUUUUGCCAUGUUGGCCAGGCUUGUCUUGAACUCCUGACCUCAGGUGAUCCACCUGCCUCAGCCUCCCAAAGUGCUGGGAAUACUGGCAUGAGCCACUGUGCCCAGCCUUGGUCUUUUCAUAUACAUGUUAAAAACAUCUUGUCAAUUUCUACCAAAAUAAAAAUACACCUAAGAUUUUGUUUGGGAAUACUUUGACUCUACAGAUCAAUUUAGAAAAAAAAAAUGCAUCUUAAAAAUAUUGAGUCUUCAAAUCCAUGAAAAUGGUAUAUAUUUCUAUUUAUUUAAAUAUUCUUUAAUUUCUUCCAGCAAUGUUUUUUAUUCUCAGCAUACAGAUCUUAGACAUAUUUUAUUUAAGUUUUCCAAGUAUUUUGUGUCCAUUGAUACUAUUUUAAAUUGUAUUGGAUUUUUUAUUUAGUUUUCCCAUUCUUUGCUAGUGUAUAGAAAUUCAAUGGUUAUUUUAAUGUUAACCUAUGUCUGUGGCAUUGUUAAAAUCAUGUAUGAGCUCUAGUAGUAUAUUUUUUAGAUAAUUAUAGUUUUUACCAUACACAACCAUGUUAUGUUUGAAUAAAGACAGUAUACUUUUUUUCUUUCCAACAUUUAUGUUUUUAAUUUAUUUUAUUUCCUGGUUUUAUAGCACUGAUUAAAACACAAAAAAAUAUAUUUUUGCCUGUUGUAAUCCUUGGGUAAAGUUUUAUCUGGAGGAAGAGAUAUGGUCAGAUAUCCACUAGUUUAAACGGUGUGGCUAAGAGUUUGGCUGAAUGAUUCUCAAUUAAAAGGAACAUGACUGGUGACUUGGUGAUAAUGAGGUCUGGAAAGAUGUAUGUGAAUCUUGGCAUAGAUCACAUCAGGCAUAGAUCAUGAAGAUAUUUGUGUCCGAUAUCAAGGCUCACCAAAGAGCCACUUCAGAUGAAUAAGUGGGCAUAGUGGUCCAUUCUAUGGAUAUAAAUGAACUUGUUUCUGCAGCUACAUCUAUCUUUGUCCGAUUGGCUCAUAAACAAAGUGGUCAUGGGCAGCAGCGAAGGAAGCUAUGCAUGGGCUAAGCAAUGUUCACUUCCACUCAUCAAAGCUGAUCUGACAACUGCCACUGCUGAGUGCCCAACCUGCUACCUGAGAUGGAUACUGAGCCCCCAGGAGGACCAGCUUGUGACUUGGUAGCAAAAACUCGACUGCCAUGAAACAUUGGGCUCUAAAGGAGAAACAACAAAAGAUACAAAGAGACUGUGGUACAUUUUCUCGUUUAUAUUAAUUUAAAGGGAAAUUGUUUCAUAUGGUUCUGAAACACUAACAAUGCAAUUAAUUCACCAGAAACAGAAAAAAAGUCUUUGUCUUGCUACCAUACUCAAUCAGAUUGAAUAAAGAAAUAGAAGGCAAAUUUGCUAAAGCAAAUUUCUCUUGUCUUUGUGUUGGCAGAAGUCUGUAGUCCCCUUGCUCUGCAUGUUCAACAAAUGUUAAUAGCACCUGGGAUAAUUACAGAAUUCACUAUUUUUAUUACAUCCAAAACAUGAGUUACAUUAAUGAGAAUAUUUGGUGGAGUUUCGUAGUCCGAAUAAUUAGUCAACAAAGUUCAAGUUAUAAAGAAUUUUUAUUAAUGAAUAAUUAAGCAUUAGUUAGCAGGGUGAUAGAUGUUCUUCAAAAUAUGUUAUUUUGAGAGAACAAAUAAAUAGGUUAAAACAUGCUAAUAUUUUAUUUUGCUUCUACUAUAAUUCAGGACAGGUAAGCACAGCAAACCAAAACCCAAAUUUCUGGCUAUAAAUUUGAUAUUUAAAAAUAAAUUAUCUGGCUC
rnacentral:lncRNA from 10 species